UCUCCUUACGGAAAGUGUUAACUAUGGCUUGACUGAAGUCGUCCUUCAGCAUAAAGUUGCUGAUCUUGCAAUUUGGUUCAUUGCAGACGGAUACAGCUUCUGUUCUCUUGGAAGCAAUGGAAUACAUACGAUUUCUUUAAGAACAAGUUAAGGUUUUGAGUGCUCCGUAUCUUCAAACCACACAGACAGAUAACAUGCCGGCUAGCAUUAAACCGACCCAGGACAUAGAGCAUUAUAGCCUGAGAAGCCAAGGUUUAUGCCUCGUUCCAAUCUCGUAUACUGUCAAAGUUGCUCGUAGCAAUGGUGCUGAUAUUUGGUCUCUCAUCAAGACCUCAUCACCGAAAUUUGACAAGGGUAUCUCACCAUUCAAUUGACAUAUUUUUCUUCAGUUGCAGCCUAUAGUCUUUGAACUUAACUCGAAUCGGGUUUAAAAGGUAACCGACUUAAUGUUGAAUGCACAAAAUUCCCUAAUCUGAUGCAAAUAUAUAUCUUGAAGCACUAUAAGAUAGGAUGUUUCUUGGCAUAAACUAUUAGGCUUUGCUUGGUAGGAUUCUGUAUCCAUAAACGCAGUAUGGCACCUUCGUAGUUUCAAGCCAGUGCUUGGAUUAAGCUGCAUUUAGUCUUAUUUGAUUACGAUAAUUAAUUUCUCUCUCCUGAUCAUGUUGUGUAAAAUGUAAAUUGAUGAAGAUGAAUUGAAUAACUACUUUUAACUUGUAUUUAUAUGGGAAGCGAAUUACAUGGUGAAUAUUACCU